rnacentral:rRNA from 1 species
UCAAGAAACUAAGGGCGCAAGGCGGAUGCCUUGGCACCAGGAGGCGAAGAAGGACGUGACAAGCAACGAAAACCUCGAAUAGGAGCAAAUAUCCAGUAACUCGGGGGAAUCCGAAUGGGGAAACCUACUAGACACACUCUAGUAUCCAUACGUAAAUACAUAGCGUAUGGAGGCGAAUGUUCUGAACUGAAACAUCUAAGUAGGAACAAGAAAAGAAAGAAAACUCGAUUCUCCAAGUAGCGGCGAGCGAACAGAGACAAGCCCAUUAAAGUAAGCCUAAACUGAUAGACAAAUCUUAUGGAAAGAAGAACCAAAGAAAGUAACAGUCUUGUAGUCGAAAUCAGAAUAGAGACACUUUAAGAAGAGUACCACGGAGCACGUGAAAUUCUGUGGGAAGAUAGGGGGACCACCCCCUAAGGCUAAAUACUACCUGGUGACCGAUAGCGAAUAGUACCGUGAGGGAAAGGUGAAAAGAACCCCGGGAGGGGAGUGAAACAGAACCUGAAACCUUGCGCCUACAAGCAGACAGAGGAAGAAGACUUCUAAUGUCGUACUUUUUGUAGAACGGGCCAGCGAGUUACGAUACGUAGCAAGAUUAAACAUUUAAGAUGUGAAGUCGCAGGGAAACCGAGUCUUAAUAGGGCAGAAGUUGCGUGUUGUAGACCCGAAACCGGGUGAUCUAUCCAUGGGCAGAGUGAAGGUAAAGUAAAAUUUACUGGAGGCUCGAACCGGGUAGCGUUUAAAAGCUAUCGGAUGACCUGUGGAUAGGGGUGAAAAGCCAAUCGAACUCGGAUAUAGCUGGUUCUCCUCGAAAUAGCUUUAGGGCUAGCCUUGUUUUAGAUUACAGGAGGUAGAGCACUGAAUAGUCUAGGGGAAGUAAUUCUACCGAAACUUAUCAAACUCCGAAUGCCUGAAAAUCGAUGAACAGGAGUCAGACCAUGAGGGAUAAGCUUCAUAGUCAAAAGGGAAACAGCCCAGACCACCAGUUAAGGUCCCAAAAUACAGAUUAAGUGGGAAAGGAUGUAAUACUACUCAGACAACCAGGAUGUUGGCUCAGAAGCAGCCAUACAUUUAAAGAGUGCGUAAUAGCUCACUGGUCAAGUGGUAAUGCGCCGAAGAUGAACGGGGCUAAAUCUGAUACCGAAACUGUGGGAUAGAAAAGCAAUUAUGCGAGAAGUAUGAAGAAAAGUGAUUAGGAAAUAUAUCAACUAGUAAAGUAAGAGAGAAAAGACACAAACUAAAACUAUUAAACGAUACAAUUUCUAAAACACUUAACAACAUACAACUGGCAUAAUAGCUUUUCUAUCGGUAGAGGAGCGUUGUAUAUGAAUUGAAGCAAAAAGCGUAAGCAAUUGUGGAUUAUAUACAAGUGAGAAUGCUGGCAUGAGUAGCGAAAAGGGAUGUGAGAAUCAUCCCCGUCGAAAGCCCAAGGAUUCCUGAGCAAGGCUCGUCCUCUCAGGGUAAGUCGGGACCUAAGGCGAGGCCGAAAGGCGUAGUCGAUGGACAACAGGUAGAAAUUCCUGUACUACAAGAUUGUGAUUGAGAGAAGUACUGACGCAGAAGGAAAAGUCGAGCGUGUGAAUGGUAGAACACGUCCAAGUAACAAGCCAGAAUAUACAGGCAAAUCCGUAUAUUCGUUAACGUAAGUUAUCAUGGGGAGCAGAAAGAUGCGAAGCGACAGAUUCAAACUGCCAAGAAAAGGUGCUAUCGAAUAAUCUUGUACCCGUACCGCAAACCGACACAGGUAGGCAAGAAGAGAAUUCUAAGACGCGCGGAAGAACCUUUGUUAAGGAACUCGGCAAAAUAAUCCCGUAAGUUAGCGAGAAGGGAUGCCUAAGAAAUUAGGUCGCAGAGAAUAGGCCCAAGCGACUGUUUACCAAAAACACAAGUAUCUGCUAAAUCGAAAGAUGAAGUAUAGGUGCUGACACCUGCCCGGUGCUGGAAGGUCAAGGGGACUUGUUAGAGCAAUCGAAGCAACGAACUUAAGCCCCAGUAAACGGCGGCCGUAACUAUAACGGUCCUAAGGUAGCGAAAUUCCUUGUCGGGUAAGUUCCGACCCGC